rnacentral:rRNA from 1 species
CAGCAGCCGCGGGAAUACAGAGGGUGCGAGCGUUAAUCGGAUUUACUGGGCGUAAAGCGUGCGUAGGCGGCUUCUUAAGUCGGAUGUGAAAUCCCUGAGCUUAACUUAGGAAUUGCAUUCGAUACUGGGAAGCUAUAGUAUGGGAGAGGAUGGUAGAAUUCCAGGUGUAGCGGUGAAAUGCGUAGAGAUCUGGAGGAAUACCGAUGGCGAAGGCAGCCAUCUGGCCUAAUACUGACGCUGAGGUACGAAAGCAUGGGGAGCAAACAGGAUUAGAUACCCCAGUAGUCCCUGUCUCUUAUAC